rnacentral:rRNA from 1 species
GACGAACGCUGGCGGCGUGCUUAACACAUGCAAGUCGAACGGGAAGGCCCUGCUUUUGUGGGGUGCUCGAGUGGCGAACGGGUGAGUAACACGUGAGUAACCUGCCCUUGACUUUGGGAUAACUUCAGGAAACUGGGGCUAAUACCGGAUAGGAGCUCCUGCUGCAUGGUGGGGGUUGGAAAGUUCCGGCGGUUGGGGAUGGACUCGCGGCUUAUCAGCUUCUUGGUGGGGUAGUGGCUUACCAAGGCUUUGACGGAUAGCCGGCCUGAGAGGGUGACCGGCGACAUGGGGACUGAGAGACGGCCCAGACGCCUACGGGAGGCAGCAGGGGGAAAUAUUGCGCAAUGGGCGGGAGCCUGAUACAGCAGCGCCGGGUGCGGGAUGACGGCCUUCGAGUUGUAAACCGCUUUCGCCUGUAACGAGGCGUGAGUGACGGUAAUGAGUAAAGAAGCACCGGCUAACUACGUG